rnacentral:rRNA from 1 species
UACGUAGGGGGCAAGCGUUGUCCGGAAUCAUUGGGCGUAAAGAGCGCGUAGGCGGCCCAGUAAGUCCGCUCUGAAAGUCAGGGGCUCAACCCCUGAAUGCGGGUGGAUACUGCUGGGCUAGAGUCCGGAAGAGGCGAGUGGAAUUCCUGGUGUAGCGGUGAAAUGCGCAGAUAUCAGGAGGAACACCAAUGGCGAAGGCAGCUCGCUGGGACGGUACUGACGCUGAGGCGCGAAAGCUAGGGUAGCAAACGGG